CCUACGGGAGGCAGCAGUGAGGAAUAUUGGUCAAUGGGCGCUAGCCUGAACCAGCCAAGUAGCGUGAAGGAUGACUGCCCUAUGGGUUGUAAACUUCUUUUAUAUGGGAAUAAAGUGCAGUAUGUAUACUGCUUUGCAUGUACCUUAUGAAUAAGGAUCGGCUAACUCCGUGCCAGCAGCCGCGGUAAUACGGAGGAUCCGAGCGUUAUCCGGAUUUAUUGGGUUUAAAGGGAGCGUAGGCGGGUUGUCAAGUCAGUUGUGAAAGUUUGCGGCUCAACCGUAAAAUUGCAGUUGAUACUGGCAGCCUUGAGUACAGUAGAGGUAGGCGGAAUGCGUGGUGUAGCGGUGAAAUGCUUAGAUAUCACGAAGAACUCCGAUUGCGAAGGCAGCCUGCUGGACUGUAACUGACGCUGAUGCUCGAAAGUGUGGGUAUCAAACAGGAUUAGAUACCCUAGUAGUC
rnacentral:rRNA from 1 species